rnacentral:rRNA from 1 species
GACGAACGCUGGCGGCGUGCCUAAUACAUGCAAGUAGAACGCUGAAGAGAGGAGCUUGCUCUUCUUGGAUGAGUUGCGGACGGGUGAGUAACGCGUAGGUAACCUGCCUUGUAGCGGGGGAUAACUAUUGGAAACGAUAGCUAAUACCGCAUAACAAUGGAUGACACAUGUCAUUUAUUUGAAAGGGGCAAUUGCUCCACUACAAGAUGGACCUGCGUUGUAUUAGCUAGUAGGUGAGGUAAUGGCUCACCUAGGCGACGAUACAUAGCCGACCUGAGAGGGUGAUCGGCCACACUGGGACUGAGACACGGCCCAGACUCCUACGGGAGGCAGCAGUAGGGAAUCUUCGGCAAUGGGGGCAACCCUGACCGAGCAACGCCGCGUGAGUGAAGAAGGUUUUCGGAUCGUAAAGCUCUGUUGUAAGUCAAGAACGGGUGUGAGAGUGGAAAGUUCACACUGUGACGGUAGCUUACCAGAAAGGGACGGCUAACUACGUG